AGAACGAACGCUGGCGGCAGGCCUCAAACAUGCAAGUCUAGGGGGUGUAGCAAUACAUCACCGGCGGACGGGUGCGUAACACGUGGGAAUAUACCUUUUGGUUCGGAACAACGCAGGGAAACUUGCGCUAAUACCGAAUGUGCCCUUACGGGGAAAGAUUUAUCGCCAAAGGAUUAGCCCGCGUAGGAUUAGCUAGUUGGUGAGGUAAUGGCUCACCAAGGCUCCGAUCCUUAGCUGUUCUGAGAGGAAGAUCAGCCACACUGGGACUGAGACACGGCCCAGACUCCUACGGGAGGCAGCAGUUGGGAAUCUUGGACAAUGGGGGAAACCCUGAUCCAGCCAUGCCGCGUGAGUGAUGAAGGCCUUCGGGUUGUAAAACCUCUUUCGACGGGGACGAUAAUGACGGUACCGUAGAAGAAGCUCCGGCUAACUUCGCGCCAGCAGCCGC
rnacentral:rRNA from 1 species